rnacentral:rRNA from 1 species
AGUCAGAUGUGAAAGCCCAGGGCUCACCCUUGGAACUGCAUUUGAUACUGGCAAACUAGAGUAUGGUAGAGGAAUGGGGAAUUUCUGGUGUAGCGGUGAAAUGCGUAGAGAUCAGAAGGAACACCAAUGGCGAAGGCAACAUUCUGGACCAAUACUGACACUGAGGGACGAAAGCGUGGGGAUCAAACAGGAUUAGAUACCCUGGUAGUCCACGCUGUAAACGAUGAGUACUAGCUGUUGGAUUCGGUGUAAAGGAUCUAGUGGCGUAGCUAACGCGUUAAGUACUCCGCCUGGGGACUACGGCCGCAAGGCUAAAACUCAAAGGAAUUGACGGGGACCCGCACAAGCGGUGGAGCAUGUGGUUUAAUUCGAUGCAACGCGAAGAACCUUACCUGGUCUUGACAUCCUGCGAACUUUCUAGAGAUAGAUUGGUGCCUUCGGGAACGCAGUGACAGGUGCUGCACGGCUGUCGUCAGCUCGUGUUGUGAAAUGUUGGGUUAAGUCCCGCAACGAGCGCAACCCCUAUUGAUAGUUACCAUCAUUAAGUUGGGUACUCUAUUGAGACUGCCGCUGACAAGGCGGAGGAAGGUGGGGACGACGUCAAGUCAUCAUGGCCCUUACGACCAGGGCUACACACGUGCUACAAUGGGUAUUACAGAGGGCAGCGAAGUAGCGAUAUGGAGCGAAACUCAGAAAGGUACUCUUAGUCCGGAUUGCAGUCUGCAACUCGACUGCAUGAAGUCGGAAUCGCUAGUAAUCGCAGGUCAGAAUACUGCGGUGAAUACGUUCCCGG